GUAGUCUAAAAGCAGCCUGUUGGUAGGAAAUAGCUAACAGAGUCAGCUUUGCUCUGCAUUGAACUACAGGAAAACCCUCCACUGAUUUUCUUAUUAGACCCCAGAUGUGCUACCCCAGACUUCUGCACACCCCCAAUUAAGUCAAUGGUGCUCCUCAAUGGUACAUCCCAUGAUAUCUAUUUGUCAAAGCCAGUUCCUUUGACUAUGUGCUGGGGUAAAGAAAGUCAUCCCUCCACUACUAGGUUGCACUUCUCUAUUGAAACUGCCAUGGGACUACUCACAUGAGGAAUAGCUACAGAAUUUGUGUCUUUUGAUCUGGAGCAGGUGAUAGGAGGAUGCCUCCAAAUGAUCAGAGCGAGAGUAAUGGCAGUUCUGGAGAAAAACAUGAGUUAUGGCUUCCAGUAUGGAGGGAAAAGUGACUGAGUGUUUAUCCAGAGAGGAGAGUUAAACUGCAUACAAAGGCAGGGACUUGCAGUUUGCAAACAGACAAAUUGGAACCUGUUCUAAAAGUGAAUCAUCAGAACAUGAAAACGCUCUUGGUCGAAAUAGGAGAAAAAACAGUUAAUUUCAAUCAUGAUGACAGUUUUUUGGUGAACAAUAGUCUCCCUGAGUUGACAUGGAGAAGUAAUGAAUGAAUGAAAGGAGAACUGAGUCACAGCUGCACUUUGCAAUCACUUUUGAACAUCUACACUCUUCUAGCCAAAAUACUAUU